AUUGAACGCUGGCGGCAGGCCUAACACAUGCAAGUCGAGCGAGCGGCGGACGGGUGAGUAAUGUCUGGGAAACUGUCUGAUGGAGGGGGAUAACUACUGGAAAAGGUAGAUAAUACCGCAUACCAUCAGAUGUGCGCAGAUGGGAUUAGCGCGUGGGGUGGGGAAUGGCGCACCCAGGCGACGAUACCUAGCUGGUCUGAGAGGGUGACCAUCCACACUGGAACUGAGACACGGUCCAGACUCCUACGGGAGGCAGCAGUGGGGAAUAUUGCACAAGGGGCGCAAGCCUGAUGCAGCCAUGCCGCGUGUGUGAAGAAGGCCUUCGGGUUGUAAAGCACUUUCAGCUGGGAGGCGUUACCCGCAGAAGAAGCACCGGCUAACUCCGUGCCAGCAGCCGCGGUAAUUC
rnacentral:rRNA from 1 species